rnacentral:rRNA from 1 species
UACAGAGGUGGCAAGCGUUGUUCGGAAUUAUUGGGCGUAAAGAGCUCGUAGGCGGUCUGUCGCGUCUGGUGUGAAAACUCAGGGCUUAACCCUGAGCUUGCAUCGGGUACGGGCAGACUAGAGUGUGCUAGGGGAGACUGGAAUUCCUGGUGUAGCGGUGAAAUGCGUAGAUAUCGAGAGGAACACCUGCGGCGAAGGCGGGUAGCUGGGCCGACACUGACGCUGAUGCGCGAAAGCCAGGGGAGCGAACGGG